rnacentral:rRNA from 1 species
UACAGAGGUGGCAAGCGUUGUUCGGAAUUACUGGGCGUAAAGGGCGCGUAGGCGGCCUACUAAGUCAGACGUGAAAUCCCCCGGCUUAACCUGGGAACUGCGUCUGAUACUGGAAGGCUUGAGGAUGGGAGAGGGAUGUAGAAUUCCAGGUGUAGCGGUGAAAUGCGUAGAUAUCUGGAGGAACACCGGUGGCGAAGGCGGCGUUCUGGACUGCAACUGACACUGAUGAACGAAAGCCAGGGGAGCAAACGGG